UACGGAGGGCGCGAGCGUUAAUCGGAAUUACUGGGCGUAAAGCGCGCGUAGGCUGUUGUGUAAGUUGGGGGUGAAAUCCCACGGCUCAACCGUGGAACAGCCCUUGAUACUGCGCGACUUGAAUCCGGGAGAGGGUGGCGGAAUUCCAGGUGUAGGAGUGAAAUCCGUAGAUACCAGGAGGAACAUCGGUGGCGUAAGCGCUUUACUGGGCCGUAAUUGACGCUGAGGAACGAAAGCCAGGGUAGCAAAUGGG
rnacentral:rRNA from 1 species